AUGUCAAGUUCAUCAUCGAGAACACCGACCUGGCGGUGGCCAAUUCGAUUCGGAGGGUCUUCAUCGCUGAGGUGCCCAUAAUAGGUAAGCGAUUCCCUUUCCUCGUUCCCGGGCCCACGGGUUCCUGCCCCGCUCUCCACCCACACUCCUUGGGGCUCCUUCCAGUCCUUGGUUCGGGCUGAGGGUGGUAGUGCUGAGAAAAGUGCAUUGCUGGAGACUUGACCAUACCCUGUGCCCUUGGCUCAGUGGCCGACUCCCUGGCGCCCACGGGCCACUUAGGUCCAUCCUUGUCCUGUGUAUGCAUUGCUGAGAAGCAUGGGUUUAGCAGUGUGCAGACUUGGGUUCAAAUACUGUUUUCACUACUAUUGUUACAAAAGUUUUUUAAAUGUUUUCAACUUUUGUUUUGGAGUCGGGGUACAUUGGUGCAGGUUUGUUGCCUGGGUAUAGUGCGUGAUGCUGAGGUUUGGGGUAUAAAUGAUCCUUUCACCCAGGUAGUGAGCAUAGUACCCAAUAG
rnacentral:sRNA from 1 species